CAAAGCACAUUUUUCCAUUGCCUUCAUGGCCUCGACUAACACACCGGGAUGACGUUUUAGGUCUUUCAUGCCAAUGUUUUCACUCUCACGCUGCUUCUGAUAACAAAAAUAUUAGAAACUUUAUGUGUCUUGCAACUGGUCCACGGUGCAUUCUGCCUCUCGCUCAUUGAAUCGCCAGGAAAAGCGCUACAGAAUACGGAGGAAUGAAAUUGAAUGAAAUGUCCAAACAUCAAAUGUGUUUUUAGUGUAUUUGAGUGUUUAGGGACACGUUUGACAAUACUGAAAAACAAUCGACAACAGUUUUGAACCGAAACUGAUUCCGCCAUUGACUCCAAACAGUGUUUAUCGCUCUCCUCACAAUGUUGUUGCCCCCCGCCUUUCUUCCAGUGGGUGCUUGAAGGAGGCUGCACUCUUGUGAGCUGCUCUGUUUACGUAAGCUCGAAGUGAGCAUGUUUUCCUCUGCUGUCUACGCCAGGGCCGCAUGUGACCUUAUAUGGAGGCCCAGUUACAACCACCACCGCCCUCCUCCUCCUUCCUCCUUUUUUCUUCCUCUGUCAGCAACUGAAACUUAAAGGCAAAGUUUUCACUUCAUCUGUUCUUGUCAAACUUUCAGGCCCAAGUUUGGGUAGCAAGACAAAUAAGACAAUCCACGAAACUUGCUCUUGGCCGUAAGUUAACGGAUGAGUUUGUUUUCCGUGUUUUAGUUUAAUUUUCCUCAUUACAACCCGCCC